GGGGCUGUCACGGUUUCGACAGGAUUAGAAAGGCAAGAACGGCAAGUAGAUGGCAAUCUUAAAAUGCGUCAGUUAAAUAUAACUGGAAACAAUUAUCAAAUGGCUUACGCUGCUUAAUAAAGCAUAUAGCGUAGCGCUUCUUUAAAAGUUGUACCUACCGAUUUUUUUAGAGGCUCGAUUUUAGUAGGUUAUAUUAUCAUGAUGUCUAU
rnacentral:tmRNA from 1 species